GAAACCUGCACAGUCGGCUCCUGUUGCAGUCAUCUGUUGUAAAGAAGUCAUUGGUCCAAGGGAAGCAGGAUUACAAGGAAGUGAAGGCUGAUUGGUACCUCCUCCAACAGUACUUGACUGAGAUGAACCUGACUGUUGAAGAUGAACAGGAGAAGACCAGCAACCUCCAGAAACAGCAACAUCAGGUCUCAGAAGCUGCAAGAGAGCUGGAAUUGGCCACAUCCCAGCAGGAGAGCCUCUUGCUGAAUGAGUUGCCACCUCAGGAGCCCCCUUCUGAGAUCCCUCCUCAACAGCCACAGACUUCUUUGGAUGAAUCUCCUUCCUCAUAGAUCAUUUCCACAGUGUGAAUGGGCCAAACUAUGUAGCCAGUGAGACAGCCAGGCUGAUCCAUGGUCUUUUUCUCUUUCCUGUGUGACCCCUUGAGAGAGAACUGAGGUGACUGCAGUAUCACCAAAUGCUCAAGAGGAGAAACUGGCUGUAGUCUGUGCUGCUCAAUGUGCAUUGAGGGAAUGUCAUCUCACAAUUUUUUCUGUUAGAAUUUUCGUUGAAAUUUUCUUUUGCAUGGUUUUGUUUUUUCUUAUGUUAUUGAGAUAUUACAUGUUCUUGUUAUUGGUUUUGAUUUUGCUAACGAUUUUCACAAUUUUUAUUAACCUUCAUAUUAAAACUUGUUUUGUAAAUUUGAUUUCUUAUGAAUAAAAAUUCGAUCUGUAA